ACCUGAGUUUGUUCCCGGCAUCACAAGAUGUUACAUAAAUCCACCCUUUUAACCUAAAUCGAUCCACUUGGGCACUACUGGGACAUAAAAGAGGUAGCAGAAAUCCAAGGAAAGGUACAGACGCCUGCACCUGUCACAGAGAAGUGACAUUCUCGGAGGCCUGCUGGGAUUUGAGCUGCUUUCAACGGGCAGCAACAUUCUAAGGUCGGAGCACGGUGGCACUCCUCUGGAGACCUCCUGAGCCAGCGGGACGGACACGGUCCCUGAGGCAUAAUGACCUGGGUCCCCAUAAACUACAGCUGUGACCUUGGAGAGGUCACCCAGCCCCUCUGAGUUCCAUUCCUUCAUCAGGAACAGGGGAAGAUGAUAUUCCCUAUCGAAUGGGUUAACACUGUUGUUAGUCUAGCAAACUCCCGAAAGCAACAUCUCUGUGAAAACUCAAGCGUCCUGCAGUGUCCAGAGCUGAGGCGGCCCUUGCUUUGGCCUCUACCAUCCUGCCUCCCUCCUGCCCUCCCGCCUACCCUAACAGCCAGGUAGUUGGAAAAAAGAGGUAAUAUUGCUGAAUUAAAUUCCACCAGGUAGAAGCGGAUCAUGAGAAAACAGCAGAUGGAAACAAGCCAAGAGCACAGGGAAAGAUGCACAGCAUCGUUACUCAUUAGGGAAAUGCAAAUCAAAACCACAGUGAGAUACUGCUUCAUUAAAAAAGACCAAAAAUCGCAAGCAUUGGUGAAGAUGUGGAGAAACCGGACCCCUUUUCCAUUGUCGGUGGGAAUGUAAAAUGACACGGCUGGCCAAGCAAGCAGUGGGGCCGUUGUUCAAGAACUUGAAUGUCCAGUUCCCAAAUGACUCAGCAAUUCUGCUCCUAGGUGUAAACCCAAGAGAAGCAAAAACAUAUGUGCGCACAAAAACUUGUAUGUCAAUGUGCAUGAGACCAUUAUUCCCAUUAGGCAAAAAGUGGAAACAACCCAAAUGCCAAUCAACGGAUGAAUGAAUAAGGAAAAUGUGAUCCAUCCAUACAAUGGAGUAGUAUUCUGCCUUAAAAAGCAAUGAAAUCCUGGGAUGCCUUGGUGGUUCAGUCCGUUAAGCAUCUGACUCUUGGUUUCAGCUCAGGUUAUGAUCUCAGGGUGGUGAGAUCUAGCCCUGUAUAGUGUUCUGUGCUGGGCAGGAAGCUUGCUUGAGAUUCUCUCUCUCCUUUUCCUCUGCCCCUGCCCCCUGGCUUGCAUGAGAGCGUGCUCUCUAGCUCACUCUCUUAAAAAAAGACAAAAAAAAAAAAAAAAAAAGAAAGAAAUCCUGAUACAGCUCCAAUGUGGAUGAAAUGGACGAACCUGGAAGACAUUAUGUUAAGUGAAUUAAGCCAGACAUGAAAGGACAUGUAUGUAUGUGAAUGUGUGUGUGUGUGUACGUGUGUAUAUACAUAUAUAUAUUAUUUUACUAUUCUACUUAUAUGGAACAUAUACAAUAUUUACUGUAUUCUUCCACUUAUAUGGGGGUUCAUGGAAUGGUCAAAUGCACAGCUUAGAAAGUAGAACUCUGCUUGCCAGGGGCUGAGGGAGAGUAGCAGGGAGCUAUCCUUUUAAGGGGGACAGAGUUUCAACAUAGGAUGAUGGAAACAUUCUGGAGUUGGGUAUGGUGAUGUUUGCACGAUGGUGGAAAGAUGCUUAAAGCCACUGACCUGCACACCGAAAAACGGCUAAAACUAAGUCUUAGGUACAUAUUGCUAAAGCAAAAAAAAAAAAACAACUUUAAAAACUAUACGGAAACAAAAGAAGCCAUAACUGACACCUGCUACGACACAGAUGAACCUUAAAAACUUGAUGCUGGGGACACCUGGGUGGCUCUGUCCAUUACGUGUCUGUCUUCAGCUUGAGUUGUGAUCUGAGGGUCCUGGGAUCGAGUCCUGUGACGGGCUCCUCGCUCAGUGGGGAGCCUGCUUCUCCCUCUCCCCCUCUGUCUGCUGCUCCCCCUGCUUACUUAUUCUGUCUCUCUCUCUGACAAAUAAAUAGAUAAAAUCUUAAAAACAAAACAAAACAUGAUGCCAUGUGGAAGAAGCUAGGCUCGAAAGAUCACAGACCCUAUAAUUCGGUGUAUGUGGGACGCAGAUCCAGAGAGACACGGAGCGGACCGGAGGUGGAGAGAGGUGACCAGUCUGCACUGAGCUUCCUGCUGGGGCCAUGAGACUGUUCUGAAGUUAGGAUGAGUGCCGAUGGCACAGCCUCACGGCUACCUUAAAACCAUUGGAUGGUGCACUUUGAAAGGACGAAUUUUAUGGCACGUGAACUAUACCUCAAUAAGGCUGUUAUUAAAAAUUUAUAGCCCACCUUGAUUUACUUGACAUAACCUGCAACCAAGGAGACCUGUUUCCAGGAAGCCAGGAAGACGGGAAGCGAAAGGACAGACGCUGAAAAAGACAUCCCCAGACCCGCGUCUUCACAAGGUAGUUUGGAAUUACGAAAGCAGCACACGCUAAUCAAAACUCAUGACUCGGGACGCCUGGGUGGCUCAGUUGGUUGGACGACUGCCUUCGGCUCAGGUCAUGAUCCUGGAGUUCCGGGAUCGAGUCCCACAUCAGGCUCCCAGCUCCAUGGAGAGUCUGCUUCGCUCUCUGACCUUCUCGCUCAUGCUCUCUCUCACUGUCUCUCUCUUAAAUAAAUAAAUAAAAUAUU